UGCUGGAGGCCAGGCAACAACAUCACCUGGCUGGAGGGCUGCUGAGAUCAUCUGGAGGAACCAGAAUGAAGACAACAUGGAGGGACAGGGAGAGAAGGAGACCAUCCCUCAUAACUAGAAGAGAAAAAGGAUUCCAGGAUUUCCUGCUGUCAGAAAGAGCUGUGAAGCCUACUGGCAAAGAGCAUCCUACAUUAGACUCUUAACAAUUGAGCUGGGAGAAGGAUAUUGGACUGUUAAGAAAAAUAAAAGCCACCGCUUGAAGAAGUUACCCCAACUUUCAACAGGACUUUGAAUAUUUCACGCACAAAUUAAAGCCUUGGAGCAAUGACAUCAGAAGUGUCCCCACAGAGCAUUGACUCUACUGUGUUGGUUGUGUACAUUGUGUACAGCACUCUUCUUGCUGUAAUGUCACAGACUGCACUGAUAGCAGGAGUUAGCAAAACUGAACACAAAGAAAAGGAAAUAAAGUGACAUGAAGAUGGCUUGUGAGUUUGAUUUGCUUUGAAAACCAAAGAGAAGCAUGUUUCAUACAACUAGCAACACUAACAGCAAAGUCACAUUCAAGCUAUUAUGAUAUGGUCUUUAUUUGGAAACUACUGGUAGCCAAUUCACUGACAGAGGCGCAGCAACAGCAGUGACUAAGACUUGCUGGGUUUUUUUGCUCUCAAAAAAUACUAGAUUAAUGGCUCAGGAGACCAGCAUCAUUUCUCUAUCCACAGAACAGGCACAGGAUCUGAACUACUGCAAGAUCAGAAUAGUAACAUUUUACUCAGGCAGUGCCAGGCAAUGUGUUAUCAAUAUGAAUGCCCUCUAAGAGGUGAAGGUUUCCAUCCCCACUAACUCCUGGCUUCUCCAUAGGGCCUGAGAAUAAUUGCUCAUUUCUGUGAUAUGAACAAUAGUCCAUAGGGGAAAUGACUGACACCCUCAGUUUAUCUAAUUUAGGCCAAUUCACAGAGGGCAACAGCUUUCAGCAACUACCAGCCAGAGAUCCCCACUACUGAUUUACAGAAUAUAGGAGACCCUCACCAUUUACGGGGGAUACGUUCCAGAAAUCCCUGUGAAUAGUGAAAUCCAUGAAUGUCAGGAGUACGGUGGUGGCAAGUGUGGAGCUCCCACAGACACUGUCAGCACUGUCGGCGGCAGAGGAUGUGGGGUGGGAGCAUGGCAAGAUGGUGUAGGGAGAGAGCGUGUGGGGAGAGAAGGUGUGCAGGGAGAGAGCAUUGGUUUGAAUAUUUGCACCGUAAAUUCCUGUACAGGAAACCCUCACCAUUUGUGGACUCGCAAUUCACAGUUUCAAAUAUUCACAGUGAAUAUACAAACGCAUGCUCUCUCCCCACACACUCCCUCCCUGCACACUCUCGCUAUGCUCCUCACCCGCUGCUGGCAGCAUCUGCGGGAGCUCCGUGCUUGCCACAGCCGGGCUCCCACUGCCACGCUCCUGCCGCAGCCACCACACUCCUGCCGUAUUCGCGGAUUUUGCCAUUCACGGGCAUCUCUGGCACGUAUCCCCUACGAAUGGCGAGGCUGUCCUGUAAAACCAAUGACAUUUGUGGACAGUACUAAUCCCAUCUUCCUCCAGUGAGAACCUCUUCCUAAUUCCUUUGAAGUCAGUGGCAAGGCUGACAUUAAUACAUUAAUAUCUGUGAGACCAAGUCAAAGAUUCUCUCCAGUUUAGUGGCCCAAAGGUUAAGACACUCUCUCUUCCAUUGUCCGCAGCACACAAUGCAGUGAUGUGGUUAGUGUUCUGUCUAAGCAGUUUUGGCUUGG